UCAGUCAGCAUUAGGGUUUUAAACCCUGAACUGAAAUUUCUCCUUCAGUCAUCAUUAGGGUUUUAAACCCUGAACUGAACUCUUUCCUUCAGUCAGCACUAGGGUUUUAAACCCUAAACUGAACUUUUCCUUUAGUCAGCAUUAGGGUUUUAAACCCUAAACUGAACUUUUCUAUUAGUCAGCAUUAGGGUUUUAAACUCUAAACUAAACUCUUUCCUUUAGUCAGCAUUAGGGUUUUAAACCCUAAACUGAACUCUUCCCUUUAAUCAGGAUUAGGGAUUUAAACCUUAAACUGAACUUUUUUCUUUCAGUCAGCAUUAGGGUUUUAAACCCUAAACUAAACUCUUUUCCAUUUAGUCAACAUUAGGGUUUUAAACCCUAAACUGAACUCUUCCCUUUAGUCAGCAUUAUGGUUUUAAACCCUAAAUUAAACUUUUCCCUUUAAUCAGGAUUAGGGUUUUAAACCCUAAACUGAACUUUUUUCCUUUAAUCAGAAUUAGGAUUUUAAACCCUAAACUGAACUCUUCCC
rnacentral:lncRNA from 1 species